rnacentral:rRNA from 1 species
AACGAACGCUGGCGGCAGGCUUAACACAUGCAAGUCGAGCGCCCCGCAAGGGGAGCGGCAGACGGGUGAGUAACGCGUGGGAAUCUACCCAUCUCUACGGAAUAACGCAUGGAAACGUGUGCUAAUACCGUAUACGUCCUUCGGUAGAAAGAUUUAUCGGAGAUGGAUGAGCCCGCGUUGGAUUAGCUAGUUGGUGGGGUAAAGGCCUACCAAGGCGACGAUCCAUAGCUGGUCUGAGAGGAUGAUCAGCCACACUGGGACUGAGACACGGCCCAGACUCCUACGGGAGGCAGCAGUGGGGAAUAUUGGACAAUGGGCGCAAGCCUGAUCCAGCCAUGCCGCGUGAGUGAUGAAGGCCCUAGGGUUGUAAAGCUCUUUCACCGGUGAAGAUAAUGACGGUAACCGGAGAAGAAGCCCCGGCUAACUCUGUGCCAGCAGCCGCGGUAACAC